AGCGAACGCUGGCGGCAGGCUUAACACAUGCAAGUCGAGCGGGCACUUUCGGGUGUCAGCGGCUGACGGGUGAGUAACGCGUGGGAACGUGCCCUCUGGUUCGGAAUAACUCAGGGAAACUUGAGCUAAUACCGGAUACGCCCUUUUGGGGAAAGGCUUGCUGCCGGAGGAUCGGCCCGCGUCUGAUUAGCUAGUUGGUGAGGUAACGGCUCACCAAGGCGACGAUCAGUAGCUGGUCUGAGAGGAUGAUCAGCCACACUGGGACUGAGACACGGCCCAGACUCCUACGGGAGGAAGCAGUGGGGCAUAUUGGACAAUGGGCGCAAGCCUGAUCCAGCCAUGCCGCGUGAGUGAUGAAGGCCUUAGGGUUGUAAAGCUCUUUUAUCCGGGACGAUAAUGACGGUACCGGAGGAAUAAGCCCCGGCUAACUUCGUG
rnacentral:rRNA from 1 species